rnacentral:rRNA from 1 species
UUAAGCGACUAAGCGUACACGGUGGAUGCCCUGGCAGUCAGAGGCGAUGAAGGACGUGCUAAUCUGCGAUAAGCGUCGGUAAGGUGAUAUGAACCGUUAUAACCGGCGAUUUCCGAAUGGGGAAACCCAGUGUGUUUCGACACACUAUCAUUAACUGAAUCCAUAGGUUAAUGAGGCGAACCGGGGGAACUGAAACAUCUAAGUACCCCGAGGAAAAGAAAUCAACCGAGAUUCCCCCAGUAGCGGCGAGCGAACGGGGAGGAGCCCAGAGCCUGAAUCAGUGUGUGUGUUAGUGGAAGCGUCUGGAAAGGCGCGCGAUACAGGGUGACAGCCCCGUACACAAAAAUGCACAUGCUGUGAGCUCGAUGAGUAGGGCGGGACACGUGGUAUCCUGUCUGAAUAUGGGGGGACCAUCCUCCAAGGCUAAAUACUCCUGACUGACCGAUAGUGAACCAGUACCGUGAGGGAAAGGCGAAAAGAACCCCGGCGAGGGGAGUGAAAAAGAACCUGAAACCGUGUACGUACAAGCAGUGGGAGCCUCUUUUAUGGGGUGACUGCGUACCUUUUGUAUAAUGGGUCAGCGACUUAUAUUCUGUAGCAAGGUUAACCGAAUAGGGGAGCCGAAGGGAAACCGAGUCUUAACUGGGCGUUAAGUUGCAGGGUAUAGACCCGAAACCCGGUGAUCUAGCCAUGGGCAGGUUGAAGGUUGGGUAACACUAACUGGAGGACCGAACCGACUAAUGUUGAAAAAUUAGCGGAUGACUUGUGGCUGGGGGUGAAAGGCCAAUCAAACCGGGAGAUAGCUGGUUCUCCCCGAAAGCUAUUUAGGUAGCGCCUCGUGAAUUCAUCUCCGGGGGUAGAGCACUGUUUCGGCAAGGGGGUCAUCCCGACUUACCAACCCGAUGCAAACUGCGAAUACCGGAGAAUGUUAUCACGGGAGACACACGGCGGGUGCUAACGUCCGUCGUGAAGAGGGAAACAACCCAGACCGCCAGCUAAGGUCCCAAAGUCAUGGUUAAGUGGGAAACGAUGUGGGAAGGCCCAGACAGCCAGGAUGUUGGCUUAGAAGCAGCCAUCAUUUAAAGAAAGCGUAAUAGCUCACUGGUCGAGUCGGCCUGCGCGGAAGAUGUAACGGGGCUAAACCAUGCACCGAAGCUGCGGCAGCGACGCUGAUGCGUUGUUGGGUAGGGGAGCGUUCUGUAAGCCUGCGAAGGUGUGCUGUGAGGCAUGCUGGAGGUAUCAGAAGUGCGAAUGCUGACAUAAGUAACGAUAAAGCGGGUGAAAAGCCCGCUCGCCGGAAGACCAAGGGUUCCUGUCCAACGUUAAUCGGGGCAGGGUGAGUCGACCCCUAAGGCGAGGCCGAAAGGCGUAGUCGAUGGGAAACAGGUUAAUAUUCCUGUACUUGGUGUUACUGCGAAGGGGGGACGGAGAAGGCUAUGUUGGCCGGGCGACGGUUGUCCCGGUUUAAGCGUGUAGGCUGGUUUUCCAGGCAAAUCCGGAAAAUCAAGGCUGAGGCGUGAUGACGAGGCACUACGGUGCUGAAGCAACAAAUGCCCUGCUUCCAGGAAAAGCCUCUAAGCAUCAGGUAACAUCAAAUCGUACCCCAAACCGACACAGGUGGUCAGGUAGAGAAUACCAAGGCGCUUGAGAGAACUCGGGUGAAGGAACUAGGCAAAAUGGUGCCGUAACUUCGGGAGAAGGCACGCUGAUAUGUAGGUGAAGUCCCUCGCGGAUGGAGCUGAAAUCAGUCGAAGAUACCAGCUGGCUGCAACUGUUUAUUAAAAACACAGCACUGUGCAAACACGAAAGUGGACGUAUACGGUGUGACGCCUGCCCGGUGCCGGAAGGUUAAUUGAUGGGGUCAGCGCAAGCGAAGCUCUUGAUCGAAGCCCCGGUAAACGGCGGCCGUAACUAUAACGGUCCUAAGGUAGCGAAAUUCCUUGUCGGGUAAGUUCCGACCUGCACGAAUGGCGUAAUGAUGGCCAGGCUGUCUCCACCCGAGACUCAGUGAAAUUGAACUCGCUGUGAAGAUGCAGUGUACCCGCGGCAAGACGGAAAGACCCCGUGAACCUUUACUAUAGCUUGACACUGAACAUUGAGCCUUGAUGUGUAGGAUAGGUGGGAGGCUUUGAAGUGUGGACGCCAGUCUGCAUGGAGCCGACCUUGAAAUACCACCCUUUAAUGUUUGAUGUUCUAACGUGGACCCGUAAUCCGGGUUGCGGACAGUGUCUGGUGGGUAGUUUGACUGGGGCGGUCUCCUCCUAAAGAGUAACGGAGGAGCACGAAGGUUGGCUAAUCCUGGUCGGACAUCAGGAGGUUAGUGCAAUGGCAUAAGCCAGCUUGACUGCGAGCGUGACGGCGCGAGCAGGUGCGAAAGCAGGUCAUAGUGAUCCGGUGGUUCUGAAUGGAAGGGCCAUCGCUCAACGGAUAAAAGGUACUCCGGGGAUAACAGGCUGAUACCGCCCAAGAGUUCAUAUCGACGGCGGUGUUUGGCACCUCGAUGUCGGCUCAUCACAUCCUGGGGCUGAAGUAGGUCCCAAGGGUAUGGCUGUUCGCCAUUUAAAGUGGUACGCGAGCUGGGUUUAGAACGUCGUGAGACAGUUCGGUCCCUAUCUGCCGUGGGCGCUGGAGAAUUGAGGGGGGCUGCUCCUAGUACGAGAGGACCGGAGUGGACGCAUCACUGGUGUUCGGGUUGUCAUGCCAAUGGCACUGCCCGGUAGCUAAAUGCGGAAGAGAUAAGUGCUGAAAGCAUCUAAGCACGAAACUUGCCCCGAGAUGAGUUCUCCCUGACUCCUUGAGAGUCCUGAAGGAACGUUGAAGACGACGACGUUGAUAGGCCGGGUGUGUAAGCGCAGCGAUGCGUUGAGCUAACCGGUACUAAUGAACCGUGAGGCUUAACCUU